rnacentral:rRNA from 1 species
AGAGUUUGAUCCUGGCUCAGAGCGAACGCUGGCGGCAGGCUUAACACAUGCAAGUCGAGCGCCCCGCAAGGGGAGCGGCAGACGGGUGAGUAACACGUGGGAACGUGCCUUUUGGUUCGGAACAACCCAGGGNAAACUUGGGCUAAUACCGGAUAAGCCCUUACGGGGAAAGAUUUAUCGCCAAAAGAUCGGCCCGCGUCUGAUUAGCUAGUUGGUGGGGUAAUGGCCCACCAAGGCUACGAUCAGUAGCUGGUCUGAGAGGAUGAUCAGCCACAUUGGGACUGAGACACGGCCCAAACUCCUACGGGAGGCAGCAGUGGGGAAUAUUGGACAAUGGGGGCAACCCUGAUCCAGCCAUGCCGCGUGAGUGAUGAAGGCCUUAGGGUUGUAAAGCUCUUUUAGCAGGGAAGAUAAUGACGGUACCUGCAGAAAAAGCCCCGGCUAACUUCGUGCCAGCAGCCGCGGUAAUACGAAGGGGGCUAGCGUUGCUCGGAAUCACUGGGCGUAAAGCGCACGUAGGCGGCUUCUUAAGUCAGGGGUGAAAUCCUGGAGCUCAACUCCAGAACUGCCUUUGAUACUGAGGAGCUUGAGUCCGGGAGAGGUGAGUGGAACUGCGAGUGUAGAGGUGAAAUUCGUANAUAUUCGCAAGAACACCAGUGGCGAAGGCGGCUCACUGGCCCGGUACUGACGCUNAGGUGCGAAAGCGUGGGGAGCA